UACGGAGGGAGCUAGCGUUGUUCGGAAUUACUGGGCGUAAAGCGCACGUAGGCGGCUUUGCAAGUUAGAGGUGAAAGCCCAGGGCUCAACCCUGGAAUUGCCUUUAAGACUGCAUCGCUUGAACAUCGGAGAGGUAAGUGGAAUUCCGAGUGUAGAGGUGAAAUUCGUAGAUAUUCGGAAGAACACCAGUGGCGAAGGCGACUUACUGGACGAUUGUUGACGCUGAGGUGCGAAAGCGUGGGGAGCAAACAGG
rnacentral:rRNA from 1 species